rnacentral:misc_RNA from 1 species
GCUUGUGCAGCGACGUUCGUCCUGACAAACCACUUCAGUUGUGCCUUCAAGAGCUUUGGGAGCCUCGAGCGUUGUCGGGUUAUUGUGUUGUGUACCUGACAGAGGAAAGCGGUGCCUUAUGAUGCCUAUUCACCCCGCAUCGCUUGCGCGACGUGGGGCGACAGAGAGGCGCGUCCUGUUAUCCUCGAAAGUUGCGCUGACGCGCUUCUUUCGUGGGUCGCUGGUCGCGGCCGAUAUCGUGGAUACGGAAUCCUGUGCGGGCAUGGAGUCUCGACUCCUAUUUGCCUAAAUAAAGUGUUCUCGCUUCUAACGAACGACGGUUGCCUACGGGUCCGUCGCCCGACUGCCCAACGGCGUCGGG